UAAAAAUUUCACAGACGCGGGAUUGUUAGCGCCUUAGCGAAAGGAAAAAAAAAAACUGAAGAGCUAAGCCAUAUCUGGACUCCCUCAAAAGAAUCAAAGAAUUAACGGAGAGAGGCCAGCUUGGAGUGGGUAACUCAGAUCGGCCGAAUACCCAAACUUGGGAUUACCCAGAUUAGUCCCCAGUUUCUGAAUCCUAGCUUUUGCUCUUAUUAAAGGAAUAACAUGGUCAGAUCCAGCCAUUAAUCACUACAUCAACAACGAGCAGCAUCAAUUUGGCUCAAAGCCAUCUUCCUUCUCUAACUCUGCAACUUGUUGGCGGUCAUAGUGGUCCUGAUUCAUUAGAUCUAUUGGGGUUUCCAUGAUCAAUUUUCUUCUUGUGUUUACAACUUCCAUUCCCCUAUCUUCUCACUCCGUCGUCAAAUUUCAGGGGUUUUGGUUUGCCAUGAGUAGUAGAGCUUCCUCCGUUGUCUUCUGCAAACCUAGCGCUCAUGACUUUCGCUACCGUCUCGUUAAGCAGAACACAUUGAUUUUGAGAGGGAUUCGAGGAUUGAUUGAAGUUGGAAUGAUUCUACUAGCAAGUUGUGUAGAGGCCAACCCGAGAAGAUGCAACAGUUUAUGACAAUAACUGGAGCGAGGAUUCGUUGAAAACAGGGGAUUUAGCCACAGUAAGAGACCCUAAGGAUGAUUGAUGUUCAGAUUGGUGAGAAGCAAAUAUUGAGAAGGUGUGAGCUUCAAGGCAAAGGCUCUUUGUGGUGGUUGGUGGAGGAGCUAUAGGUUUUGCUGCAAUCUGAGGGAUUGGUAGUGUGCUUAUGUGGAAUUCAUUGGAAUUAAGUGGACUUGAGAAGUAUUAGUACACUUUGUUACUAAUUUGAAUUGCUGAUUGGAAGACCUUUCAAACCAGAGCUUAAUCAGGCUAUUCUUGCUUCUAAAAUGCCCUUGAGGUGGAGUCUUUGUAUGAGAGCUAUAUAAGAAACUAAGCAGCUCUGUAGUUAAAGAUGGCUUAUACACAAGGGUGCUCGACAUUACCUACCUUGUGCUCGUGCUGCAAUAAAAUAUGUCAUUCUGGCUAUCUCUGGUCAUAUGGAUGAUAUCCUGGGAAAGUAUAAGGUAUUCAAUAGUGUUGUCAGUUUUUUAUUGCAAUUGCGUUGGUUCAUUUUUCUCAUUCAUAAAAUGUGUUUUUGCAUUGGAUAAUUGUCUUGGCUUAGUAGAGGCUAUAUUGUCUAUGCUUAUAUCAAUUCUGUAGUAAUGCUAUUACAAUGUCAACAUUUUGUAAUGUCAUUGUCGAUAUGCUCUUGGUAUUGUUGAGAUUUAGAAGUGCACAAAAGCUUGGUUUAUUUGUGAAGUUAAUGAAAUCUUAAAUAGCUUCUCUAUUGUGUACUUUUCUCUGUUUUCAAGAACUUAAACACAGGAUACUGUUUCUUUUAGAGAUGCUAGAGCCAUUCCUUGAUCCCGCUGUAGGCAAAUUCAAGGGUAAAAUAGCCUUUGGAGAUCUAUCUUGUGCAUAUCUAGAAACGCAGGAACGGAAUUGUGCUAUUGCUAUUAAUGUGAUUCGUACAGCAGUGCAUAAACCAGCAGUUCUUCCUUCACUAGAAUCUGAAUGGAGGCAUGGAUCAGUUGCUCCUAGGUAAUACAUGGUUGCAUUAUUCCAAAUCUUCUCUUGUGACUUUCUGAGCAGAUAUAGACCUUUCCGUAGUGGCCUUGCAAAUUUGAGAAAUACUUGGUUGAGAAGGACCUGUGAUGUUAAUUUACAUAUGUAUAGGAGACCAAAUAUUAAAAGGCCUAGAAAGGCAUUUAUUUGCAGAUUUAUAAUUUUUUUUU